GCAGUCCCUGCCCCCAGGUCAUGGUGUGGUAUUGAAAGUAGCCCUGGUCCUGCAGGGCUCCGAGGGGCAGCCCAGAAAGCUUCAUGCCUCCUUUCUGCUGUAGCUUGUGUGAGCCUCUACACUAGGCUAAGAUUCAGCCCAUGCCAUGUUCCUGGGGCCCCAGGAGCUGUCUCAUCCCCACUCCCCAGUGAUGAUGGCCCUCCCCUCACCAGCCACCUUCCCUGUCCAUGCCCCCUGAGAUGGGGCCUUCCCAGGAUGAAGGCUCUUUCCUCUAGGGUGUGAUUGACCGCAGCCUGUGAGCCUGCCCAGGGGGCACCACCUCCAGGUAGGCAGUGUCUUCAGCCAAGGGCCAACCCUCUCAAGAAGGGUGUCUUCCAUCGGGGUGUCUCCAUCUGUUGAUAGCCUUUCACUUUUCUCCCUGCAGAAGGAUAUGGCCCUGAAGCCACAUGAGCGGAAGGAGAAAUGGGAACGUCGUCUCAAGAAGCCCCGGGAGUCGGAAAACUGCCCAUCCUCAGAGCCCAGUGUGAGCAGGCAGCCCCUGGAAGCUGGUAGCCCUGGGCAGGACCUGGAGCCUGCCUGUGACGGAGGGGCCAGAAAGGUCCCACUACAGCCCUCCAAGCAGGUGUGCUCCCCAGAAGGGGGGCCGCUCCCAGUCAACCCCUGGCACCAGAACGGCCCGGCCCAGCACCAGCAGCAGCACCAGCCCAGCCAGCCCAGCCAGCCCCAGGGGCCCCUCCCAGCCCCGUGUCAGCGCUG
rnacentral:lncRNA from 1 species